AUCACAUCAAAAAAAUAGAAGACAGAAGAAAGAAAAAGAAAUUACUAAAUUACACAGUACCCUGAAUGCUAAUUUCAGGGAGUAUCCAACAGAUUAAAAAUGUCAAACCGGUAACAUUGUGUUAGUGGGAUUUUCUUUAACAAUGAUACUGAUUUUUUUUUUUUUUGCUUUAACAACAUAACAGAUUCUAUCUCAGGCACUGGGACUUGCGAAAAUUUAAGAAUACAGAAUGAUAGGAUUGAGAAAAGGAAGACAAACUGGUCAGAGGAAAAAUGAAGAAUCACAGGCUGGAAAGAAAUAAUAGAUAUGAAGAUGCAGGUUGAUAGAAAGGCUUAAAAAUGAAUAAAAGAUUAAUAUAAGACUCAAUUCCCAGUUCCAGCCCUUAGGAUUGCUCGCUCUACUUUUCCAUGUUUACUUCUUCCAGAUCUUUUCCUCAUUUGCAUGAAUCGGCACUAAAAUAAAAAUAAACAAAAUGUAUGACA
rnacentral:lncRNA from 1 species